CCAAGGUCUCCUGAGACAUGGACGCAAGAUGGUGGAAGCGUGACCACCUGGGUCCCCGAAUGACUGCGUGGAGCAGAGCUUUCCACCGCCCUGGGCACCGGUCGGCACCGCGCCCGAGAGUGGGUGCGUCUGAGACAGACGGGCCGGGCUGUUCUCCCUGCUUCUGAGCCCACCUUGACCCGGGGCCUCUGGCUCUGCAAGAUUCUGACUAUGUGUUGCUUGAUCCCCGAAUGGAUGUUACAGCCGCCGUCCAACCGUUUCUGGGCUCGGCGUACUGAGAUGAAGUCACGUAAACCAGGGUGGAGACGUCUCUGCCCAGCUUGGACGCUGACACACACAGCUGAUGUUAUCAAGACGUCACUUUGGUUUCCCGAAACCCAAUGAAAUAUCAACAUCCAUUUCUAAGCAAGUUGAUGAAACCAAGACUCAGACACUCAAUGUGGGACCCACGGUCACUGGAAUAGUCUGGAGAUGGACCUGGCGGAUACUGGCAUGUGGGAAACACUCUCUCUCUGGCAACGUCGAUCUCCCUCUUCAAAGUUUCCAUACACGAGAAUCAUGAGGCACAAGAUUGUUUUGAUCUCUUGUUUUGAACACCUUCAUAGGCUCUCAGGGACCCCAAGAGUCUGAAAAACAUUUUUUUAUAAUCUCUACUGUAAUAUGUACAUUGUCAUUAUGGACAAUAUCAGCUUUGACUGUGAUACUUGUUGAUAGAACACUUAUCAUGUUGCGAUUAUGAAUGACUUUUGGGUCACGGUUACUCCAGAGAACAUGUCUUCUCCAUGCAUCUCUCAAUUUACUAAGAACAUAAUUUUCUCCACGAUUUGCACUGCACUGAAAUUUGUAUUUAUAGUAAGACUGCCAAACCAAUAAUUCCAUCUUCCAUGUGGAACAUAGCAUUCACCACAAGUCAGGUGUUUCACCUAAAACAGAAUGAACUUGCCAACGCUCUACUUCUGUUCCAUGAAUUGGCAGAAAAAAGAAAUUGCACCAUUAUUAGAAUUAGUUUAAUCGAUCGCCUAUUUCAAUCAUCCGACGUUGCAAAUAUAAAACUGAUGUCAUUGAUCUUCUUGGGAAGGGGACGUUUUCCUGCCCAGAGGGCCCAUGUGCCAACAGCCUUCCCUUCACCUUUGACACAGGCACAAGAAAAUGUAAA